AACAAUGGUGGGCUGGGCGAGGCCGCUUCGGUGGGCCGCUUCCUAUGUCGCGGUAGUCUCAACCUUGUCCAGUUCGCACCCGG
rnacentral:antisense_RNA from 1 species